GUGCCUGUCCUGUGCUUGACAUUGGAUGGGGAGGGAAGGAAGACACGGUAAUGCCUCUUAUUCUUACCUUGUUUAGAACAAAAGAAAGAAAAGUCCUGGCUCAGUGGUUCCAGGCAUCGGUGGCACACUGCCUGUCAGAUCUGGACUGCUUAGCCUGGUGAGUGAGUUCAUGAUGUUUGACAUGCUAUAAAGUUGCAGGGGAAACCUACUUGAAGUAUCUCAGUGUUCAACAACUGGGCCAUGUGGCUAUAUGGAAGAUGGUGUGUGCAGGGGGUGAUGUGCAUUGGCCCCAUGGCACUACCUCUCGCAGCUGUCAGAACUACUGCAGGCUAGUCAGUGGUGACACGACUCUUUAAAAGUCACAGUAUCAUCUCUUACUUCAGAAAAUAGGGCCUUGGAAAAAUAUUUGCUCUGGAUGCGUUUCUCACUCCCCACAACCAACCCCCCCCCCAUUUACAAACCACAGAAAGACGCUACCUCUGACUCAGAAAUUGGAGCUACCAUUAAAAUGCAAGUUUUAAUUUCAGAAACAUGUGAGGAUUUCCAUGGUUGGCAUUGGGAAGUGUGUGUGUGUGUGUGUGUGUGUGUGUGUGUGUGUUAGGGUUUCUAUUGCUGUGAUAAAACACCAUAACCAAAAUCAACUUGGGAAAGAAUAGAUUUAUUUCAGCUUAUAGUUCUGCUUCACAGUUUAUCAUCAAAGAAGUCAGGGCAGGAACUUAAGCAGGGCAGAAACCUGGACACAGGAACUUAAGCAGAAGCCAUAGAGGUAUGCUGCUUACUGGCUUGCUCAUCAUGGCUUGCUCAGCCUGCCUUCUUAUAGAACCCAGGACCCCCAGCCAUAGCUUGGCACAGCCUAUAGAGAGCUGGGCCCUCUCGAAUCAAUCACUAAUCAAGAAAAUGCCCUACACGUUUGCCUACAAUCCAUCCAAUGGAGGCAGUUUCUUGGUUAAGAUUCCUUCUUCCCAGAUGAUCCUCAUUUGUGUCAAGUUGACAUAAAAACUAUCCAGUACUCUCUCUCUCUCUCUCUCUGUGUGUGUGUGUGUGUGUGUGUGUGUGUGUAGAGAGAGAGAGACAGAGAGACAGAGAGAGAGACAGAGUCUUAAUGUUACUCUUUUAAUGACAGUUUAUGAUUAACUUUUCCUACUAAUAAUCCCCAAACUUUAUUGGGUUAACGGAACAAUUACUCAUUCAGCUCACAAACUUCUGAGUUGACAUUGUGCGCUGGACUCAGAUGGGUGGCUUUCCAUUGUCAAUGGUUCGCUCUAUGUCAGAUGGGCGUGGCUUGGGGUUAGCUGGUUCAGAUUGGCCUCUGCUGCAAUGGCUGCCCUCCAAGCUCCAGUUUGGCCCAGGCUCAUGUGCAUGUUUGCCUAGCACAGUUCUGAGAAGAACUGCAGUGUGCAAGGUGUGAGUGUGCAAGAACAAGGCCACAUUUACUGUGUUCCACGGCUCAAGUAAAUUCGUGUUAGUCUAAUCCAAAAGGAUGGAAAAUUAGGCUCCACCCUCCAGUAAGAAGAGCUCCAAAGUCACCAUUAAAGGAGUGUAGCUACAGGCAAAAUAGAACAUAUUAGAUAAGAAAUGCCCAGAGAUUGGCAUCAGCUCACCUUUUCACUUCUAUCUAUGGGUCUGCUUUGCUUUUCCUUUUCAUAUUAUUAAUGUCUUUCAUUCUUGAUAUUUGGUAUACUCAGUACUAUACAACUUAGGGGCAUUGUCAUGCAAGCGUAUAUUAAACAUUGAGCCCAUGGCAGCCUUGCUUCCCACACUGCCUUUCUCAGCCCAAUCCUCCUUGUUAGUCAGUCCCUUUUGCUUCUAUAGGCAGUUUUGUGUCUACUUUCGUGUUACAUGCACGUACAUCAUAUCAUUUUCUUC
ensembl:sense_intronic Gm26638 predicted gene, 26638